CACGGAGUUAGCCGGUGCUUAUUCCUCUGGUACCGUCAAAUAAUCCCGCAGGACCACAGUUCUUCCCAGAUAAAAAGCAGUUUACGACGCUGAGCGCCUUCAUCCUGCACGCGGCAUGGCUGGGUCAGAGUUGCCUCCAUUGCCCAAUAUUCCCUACUGCUGCCUCCCGUAGGAGUUGGGUCCGUAUCUCAGUACCCAUGUGGGGGCCAAUCCUCUCAGAACCCCUACUGAUCACUGUCUUGGUGGGCCGUUACCCCGCCAACUAACUAAUCAGACGCAAGCCCCUCCCAUACCCAUAAAAUGUUUACCCGGCCUGUCAUGAAACAGAAAGGGACUAUGCGGGUUUACCCCGGCUUUCGCCAGGCUAUCCCCCGGUAUGGGGCAGGUUGCUUACGCGUUACGCACCCGUUUGCCACUGUCCUUGCGGACCGUUCGACUUGCAUGUAUUAGGCCUGCCGCUAGCGUUCAUCCUGAGCCAGGAUCAAACUCU
rnacentral:rRNA from 1 species